rnacentral:rRNA from 1 species
UACGUAGGGGGCAAGCGUUGUCCGGAAUUACUGGGCGUAAAGAGCUCGUAGGUGGUUUGUCGCGUUGUCCGUGAAAACUCACAACUCAAUUGUGGGCGUGCGGGCGAUACGGGCAGACUGGAGUACUGCAGGGGAGACUGGAAUUCCUGGUGUAGCGGUGAAAUGCGCAGAUAUCAGGAAGAACACCCGUGGCGAAGGCGGCUCUCUGGGACGGUACUGACGCUGAGACGCGAAAGCGUGGGGAGCGAACAGG